GAUGAACGCUGGCGGCGUGCCUAAUACAUGCAAGUCGAACGGAAAGGCGCUGAACUUGCGCGUUGCUCGAGUGGCGAACGGGUGAGUAACACGCGUAUAACCUCCCCUUGACUUUGGGAUAAAUCCAGGAAAAACGGGAGAAUACCGCGUAGGAGCUCCCGCUGCACGUUGGGGGAUGGAAAAAUUCGGCGGUUGGGGAUCGACUAGCGGCUCAUUAGCUUGUUGGUGGGGUAGUGGCGUUCCAAGCCUUUGACGGGUAGCCGACCUGAGAGGGGGACCAGCGACAUUAGGACUAAGAUACGGCCCAGACGGCUACGGUAGGCAGCAGUGGGAAAUAUUGCACAAUAGGGGGGAGCCAGAUACAGCAGCGCCGGGUGCGUGAUGACGGGCUUCGGGUUGUAAACCGCUUUGGCCUUUGACGAAGCGUGAGUGACGGUAAUGGGUAAAAAAGCACCGGCUAACUACGUG
rnacentral:rRNA from 1 species